GCCAUCUAGCUAGAAGCAAAAAUAGUCAAAACAAUGCAUACGUUUUUGGCAUUUCAGCCCCACUGCAGGAACUCUCUUGCUGUGGGUGCCUCCCCAAAGGAGUACUGGUACUGCCGCUAUUCCCAGGGGUGGUUCUGGUUGUGCCACGAUCCGAGAGAGCCUCAUUCCCCGAUUACUUUCGGUGUCAAUCAAAGAAGGUGGAUGCUGUGGUCAGCAUGGAGACACAACACCCUUGCAGAGCAUUGUGGGAAACAUGACCAUAAAACCGAUUUUGACGCUUGCCCCUGCACGACGCAAUGGAAAGGCAAAGCAGAUGUGAGAAGAUAAGAAGCACUGCCAUUACCACAAGCAAUAUGGUCACCCAAAAUAGAAGAGACUGAACGAGUCCUGAAGUGUGGUUAUAUGAAAAACUUACUGAAGCCAUUUCUGCUUCUAGUAUUCUUUCACCCAGCCACACAGAUCGUUAUCAAAAUAUUUACAUUUCUGUGCAUCGCAUGCCUCUAGGGAGAUAAGUUCACAAGGUCGUGGCAUCAUUUUUGCAGAACGUUUUUUUAUAUAUACGACUGAUGCUUAUUGGACUUAACAAACGUUUUACUUAAAGCUUUUCUUGCUGCCAUAGCACGCGCGUGCAUUCUACCCCCCUCGUAAGGAAUUCGCGAUCAUGCAGUAAGUGCCGUGAUCAUCUGUGCAAAACAUUUGUGUGCUGCGGUAAUAGCACUGUCGGCACUGAGCAGCCAGCUUCUAAUAAUCGGUGUCACAGGGCAUUACGAGUCGCUGUGCAUGCCCAAAUAUUUCCAUGCGCUUAAGUGCUCGACGCACAUUAUCGUCUUUAUUCUGAAUAUACAUUUCGUUUGUAUCUUCCUGUUCUUAAAUUAGAAUUUUGAACUUAUAAACCAUUGAAGCAGAGGGCUGGAAAUGCGUUAUUGCUGUUCUUGGGAGCACCAAAUCUACAGGAAGGGCUGUAGGAGUGAUUGUUCACACGCGCUCUGCUCUUCUCUCCUCUUUAGGCUCCUUCCCCCCCCAACCUUCUCAUAUACGGUAGCCAACCAAAUAUUUGUUCUCAUUGCCUUUCCUUACCCUCACGUCUCGAUGUAUUCUGAAAUGCAGCAUGGUAAUGCUAGUGUUAUAUUCGUAAAUAAAUAUUGCAUAAAGUUUCAUCGUUUUGUCUUGUGCAGAUUCUUGCUGGGUAUUGAUGUUUCAACACUGCCCAUCGACAUGGCUAAUCCAGGCGAAACAAUUCUCUCCUUUACUUGCUAUUGGUGCAGUGGACCUGCUGUUGAUUGCCAGUUGUACUUGCCUUCUCUUAAGAGUUUCUUCACGAAGUACAUUGACUUGUCAUCAGCAUCACUGCACAUCUCUCAGCUGCAGCAAAAAGCUGCCGCUGAUGGCAUCUAUGAAGACGAAAUACAGUAUGUAAUGUGCCAACUUGAGUUCACUACACUCUCCAUGAAACAACUCAAGACGGUGAGGGAUACUGUUAUUCAUCAGUGGUGCAAGCAGGGGCUAACAAAUCGUACAUUUUCAAACACACUCCAGUGGCUGGUUCCCGGUUCCUCCUGGAGCCUUUGUAAUGACUUCAUUCCGCAAGAAGACGUGUUGGUAAAAUCUAUUGCAUUUGGAUUGUACGUUGGCUUUUGUACUUUUGCUGAAGCGUAUAACAUCACCAAAAUUAUGGGGACUGCACACUUGAGGGUGAAUUGCUCAUUUCAGCACGACCAGAAACUUGUGCACAUCUAUUUAACGCUUCAGCACAAGUGUGGAAAGAUUCAAACGAUAUACAGGCUUCUCAUAAAGUAUGAUGACAUCUAUCGCGUGGUCGUCAGUGCAGCAAAAGACUCCACAGAAGUUUACCUCCAUGUUAAAACCUUUCCUCUGAUUCAUAGGCAAGUACAGCUUACCCUCGAAGAUGUCCAUCUCUCGCAGAGUGCUAUGCCGCACAAGAGCUGCGAUCGAAUGAGAUUCGAAAGGACAUUGAACAUUGGAUGCUCCUGCAUUACUUACUUGAAUAGCACCAUUCUUGCUGGCUAUUAUGUUGUGAAGCUGUGUGUGACUAGUGGCACCAAAGUUCGACGACUGGUAAGUCGUCUCGGUGACCGUUGUAGGAGAGAAGUAAAGGUCGUGUAUGCUCCUGUCAAAACUAUAAGUGUUAUGCAUUGCAUGGAAAGCGCAAAGCACGAGAUUAUGACUGCAAUUGCACCUCUGGUGCAGUUUCCGUGUCAGUACGCACUGAAUGUGCUCCUGCAAAGGAGCAACGAUGUCUUGGUUCAGAUGACAUUGCAGCGAGAUGACGACCGUAAAGCAUUUCUCACAUUCAUGCAAAAGUGUGCCAGGGCCAAUGAGAGUGCACUGGAACAGGCUUUGAUUGCUCUGUACCUCUCCAUCGAAAGCGGCUGCACCUUCACGCUCCAGACAGCACUUCCAGCUCUCUUCGUGAAGUUCCACGCAAGCUAUGUGCCGCUAGAAGUUCCCAACAACUGCUGUUGGGUGCGGCGUGCAAUCUCCACCCCGUCAAACUUCAUCCUCCUUCCUCCUGAAGUGCAUUGCCAGAACAGGGUGCUUCGUAGUUUCAACCCGGAGUACGCUCUUCGCGUGACGUUCCGGGAUGACAAUUACGAUUACCUCUCGCACACCCUCAUGUUCAGCCAAAAUGUGGAUGAAAUCCUUGAAGCGACUGUAGCAUCACUCCUUCGAGCAGGAGUCUCCAUUGCAGGUCGCCACUACGAGUACCUUGGAAGCUCCGCGAGCCAGCUUCGUGACCAUGGCGUAUGGCUGUACACAAAGGAUGGAAGCGGCAAGUCAGUUCAAGACAUCAGGGCUUGGAUAGGUGACGUGCACCAGAUUCCAAGCGUCGGCUACAAGAUGGCCCGCAUGGGCCAAUGCUUCUCGUCCACAGAAGAGACGGUGCGCGUCCCUCUAGACAGUGGGGCAAAGCAGGACUUACCGGAUAUUGUGGGUGGCAGGCAUCCACAAUCGGGCAACCCUUACAUUUUCUCGGAUGGCAUCGGCAUGAUCUCGAGGUCGCUUAUGAGAAAGGCAUGCAAACAGCUGGGCCUGCCAGAACUGCCAUCGGCCAUUCAGAUUCGCUAUGCUGGUUACAAAGGUGUGCUAUGCCUGAAUCCAAAAUUGCGUGGUGAUCAACUUCUGCUGCGCAAAAGCAUGAAGAAGUUUCACUGCUCGACAUCGGACAGCCUCGAAAUCGUGCAGGUGUCUGCACCACGUCCGGUGUACCUCAAUAGGCCCCUGAUCACCAUCUUGGAGCAGCUCGGAGUUCCGGGCCGCGUGUUCCUGCGAUUGCAACAGAACAUGGUGCUUCGUCUGUGCGAUGCCUUUGUCAGCGACGAUGAGGCCUUGCAGGUGCUUAGCGCACACGUUCGUACGGGCCAUCUGCCACUCGUCAAGUUUCGCAAGAAAGGCCUGGUUCUGACAAGGGAGCCCUUCAUUCGUUCACUGUUGCUGGCUGUUUACAAUAGCAUGAUAGCUAACCUUAAGAGCAAGAGCCACAUAGCAGUACCCGAGGACAGUGGACGCAACAUGCUAGGCGUACUGGAUGAAACGGGAACCCUAGAGUAUGGCCAGGUCUUUGUCCAGUUCACAAGUUUAAGGAGUGGUGACAAAACCUCAAGGCCUGCCACCAGAGUCAUCACAGGCACUGUGCUGGUGACAAAGUGCCCCUGCGUUCACCCUGGCGAUGUUCGUAAAUUCGAGGCCGUGGACGUGCCCGCAUUACACCACAUAAGGGACUGCAUCGUAUUCCCAGCCAAAGGACACCGACCACACCCCAAUGAAAUGGCGGGUUCUGACCUGGAUGGUGACGAGUAUGUGGUCAUAGCAGAAAAGGAUCUGCUCUUUUCAGGCGACAAUGCUGCUCCCAUGAUUUUCAGUGACCAUGCCUUUCAAAGCGGACACGCUGGAGGACUUGGAUGAAGAAAUGAUAUCAUUCACAUGUAACUACAUCAAGAAUGACAACAUUGGCCUCAUGUCGAACGCCCACCUUGCGUGGGCAGACCAGCUGCCGGACGGAAUAUUCUCACCACGGUGCCUGUCUCUGGCCAAGAAAAUUGCUACCAGCCUAGAUUUUGCCAAAACGGGCAUCCCAGCACGUAUGGAGAAGUCGGAGCGUGUGUACAGGUAUCCCGAAUUCAUGGAGAAGACGGGCAGCAAGGAUACUUACAGAUCAUCAAGGAUCCUCGGGCAGCUUUACAGACUCAAUCGGGGACUCGUCACCUCUGGCUUCUGUAGCUGCACCGAGCACAAAGCGCGUAACAGCAUGUUUGAGUACCCGGAUUGGCAGAAGUAUGAGCGCCCUGCCAGACUGGCGAAGGCACUUUACGAGGAGCUCAUGAAUCAAAUUCUUCACAGACACUGGCAUUGCCAGUGAAGCCUGAAGUUGUCACGGGACUACUGAGCAGUCUUUCUCCUUACCACAGGGGCAGGAACAACAAGUACAACGUCGAAGCUCACGUGCAGAAGCAGUUUCAGAUGCUGGUAGAGAAGAUGAGGCAACAGGUUCUUCCGCGAUGUUGAGUCCCUCUUCCCAGAUGGCAAUUUCUCCGGGACAGAGGCCAAAGUGGCUCUGCUACAGAUGGCUUCCGCGUGGUACAUGGUAACCGUGAACGCAGACGACGCAGCGGAAGUCAACUGCCAAGGUUUUCCCUGGUGCAUGUCGGACGUGUUGCUGAUGCUUGUAAAGAACAGGCAUGCGAAGUGCUCCGAAGUCCAGGGAUAUCAGAUGGCUAGAGCGCUGUUGCGUCGAAUCAAUGACAUGAUUACAAGGUCCAUGCCCGGUGCAUGUCCAGUCACCGUUGCGCUCGACGUGGUGCUCAGAUGGGCUGCUAAAGAGGACCUCAUGAAAACAUCGGGGUCAAAUGGGCGCGGAAUCUGUCGCACAUGCCUGUCUACACUGUUCGAAAACUUCGCUAGUUCCUGCAAGACGGCACCACUACUGUCAGCUGAGGGCUGGCACAGGGAUCUGGAAAGGCAUGCACGUCUGUUUGGUUGGCCACCCAGAACUGCUGCUGCCUAUGUGUUGGCAUUCCUGAGAUACCUUGUGAAUGCGCCAGAACUCGGCUCACUUUGCCAAAACUGUUGGCAUGUAUAUGCGCAAGCACACUUGGUCUCAGUGGCUGCGUUGCGGCGCUAUAGCCAGCUGUUGGUGUGUGGGUCUCCGUGUCACCUCAAUCUCACACUGAGCCACGACUGUCACAAAUCUGUUGACGUUCUGGAGGAGCAUGGGCCCAUCAGGGUGCUGGUGCAGAGCGCCGCCUUUCUGCGCCUGCUGAAGGUGGGCAGCGGCGCGGCGCGCUUGCAGGAGACGCUCCGCCGCUUGUCCGGCGCGCAGGCGGUGCGCAUCCGCUGCAACUCGAGCACGUCGGGCGGCCGCCAGUACGCGUUCGUCUCCGCCAGGGGCCGCCACUGGCAGCUGUGGUUCCUCGAGGAGCUCCUGCUCCAGCCCUGGUUCGAAGACGCCGUCGUCAGCGGAGAGCUCGGGCGGCAGCAGCGCUGAGACCAAUCGCAUUUCGUAGAGGCGUCCUACCACGCGGAAGCCCGGUUAACCACAUCUUGGUUGUCAUCGAGGUCGCCAUCUUGGAGUUCCAGUUACGUUCGGAA
rnacentral:misc_RNA from 1 species